CGGGACGGGUGAGUAACGCGUGGGUAACCUGCCUCAUACAGGGGGAUAACAGUUGGAAACGACUGCUAAUACCGCAUAAGCGCACAGGAUCGCAUGAUCCGGUGUGAAAAACUCCGGUGGUAUGAGAUGGACCCGCGUCUGAUUAGCCAGUUGGCAGGGUAACGGCCUACCAAAGCGACGAUCAGUAGCCGACCUGAGAGGGUGACCGGCCACAUUGGAACUGAAACACGGUCCAG
rnacentral:rRNA from 1 species